ensembl:lncRNA
UUACAAAGGAACUAGACAGUAUAACAGAUUUAAUUUACAAAGGAACUAGACAGUAUAACAGAUUUAAUUUACAAAGGUACUAGACAGUAUAACAGAUUUAAUUUACAAAGGAACUAGACAGUAUAACAGAUGUAAUUUACAAAGGAACUAGACAGUAUAACAGAUUUAAUUUACAAAGGAACUAGACAGUAUAACAGAUUUAAUUUACAAAGGUACUAGACAGUAUAACAGAUUUAAUUUACAAAGGAACUAGACAGUAUAACAGAUUUAAUUUACAAAGGAACUAGACAGUAUAACAGAUGUAAUUUACACAGUGGAGCGCAGCUGCUUGUCAAGAAGCCACACUCAUGUUAGAAGUUCAGCUCCCUGAAACAAUUAUUUUCAAAUAAAAAACUAAUUUAAUCAAAAAAAGGGGAAUUUCUAUCAUCCUAAUGAAGGUCUAGAUUACAUCUCACAUUCCAGUGUUUCUAAUGGAGGUGUAGAUUACAUCUCACAUUCCAGUGUUUCUAAUGAAGGUCUAGAUUACAUCUCACAUUCCAGUGUUUCUAAUGAAGGUGUAGAUUACAUCUCACAUUCCAGUGUUUCUAAUGGAGGUGUAGAUUACAUCUCACAUUCCAGUGUUUCUAAUGAAGGUGUAGAUUACAUCUCACAUUCCAGUGUUUCUAAUGGAGGUCUAGAUUACAUCUCACAUUCCAGUGUUUCUAAUGAAGGUGUAGAUUACAUCACACAUUCCAGUGUUUCUAAUGGAGGUCUAGAUUACAUCUCACAUUCCAGUGUUUCUAAUGAAGGUGUAGAUUACAUCUCACAUUCCAGUGUUUCUAAUGAAGGUCUAGAUUACAUCUCACAUUCCAGUGUUUCUAAUGGAGGUGUAGAUUACAUCUCACAUUCCAGUGUUUCUAAUGAAGGUGUAGAUUACAUCUCACAUUCCAGUGUUUCUAAUGGAGGUGUAGAUUACAUCUCACAUUCCAGUGUUCCUAAUGAAGGUGUAGAUUACAUCUCACAUUCCAGUGUUUCUAAUGAAGGUGUAGAUUACAUCUCACAUUCCAGUGUUUCUAAUGAAGGUGUAGAUUACAUCUCACAUUCCAGUGUUUCUAAUGGAGGUGUAGAUUACAUCUCACAUUCCAGUGUUUCUAAUGGAGGUCUAGAUUACAUCUCACAUUCCAGUGUUUCUAAUGAAGGUGUAGAUUACAUCUCACAUUCCAGUGUUUCUAAUGAAGGUCUAGAUUACAUCUCACAUUCCAGUGUUUCUAAUGAAGGUGUAGAUUACAUCUCACAUUCCAGUGUUUCUAAUGGAGGUGUAGAUUACAUCUCACAUUCCAGUGUUUCUAAUGGAGGUCUAGAUUACAUCUCACAUUCCAGUGUUUCUAAUGAAGGUGUAGAUUACAUCUCACAUUCCAGUGUUUCUAAUGAAGGUGUAGAUUACAUCUCACAUUCCAGUGUUUCUAAUGAAGGUGUAGAUUACAUCUCACAUUCCAGUGUUCCUAAUGGAGGUGUAGAUUACAUCUCACAUUCCAGUGUUUCUAAUGAAGGUGUAGAUUACAUCUCACAUUCCAGUGUUCCUAAUGAAGGUGUAGAUUACAUCUCACAUUCCAGUGUUUCUAAUGAAGGUGUAGAUUACAUCUCACAUUCCAGUGUUCCUAAUGGAGGUGUAGAUUACAUCUCACAUUCCAGUGUUUCUAAUGGAGGUGUAGAUUACAUCUCACAUUCCAGUGUUUCUAAUGGAGGUGUAGAUUACAUCUCACAUUCCAGUGUUUCUAAUGGAGGUCUAGAUUACAUCUCA